AGCAGCCGCGGUAAUUCCAGCUCCAAUAGCGUAUAUUAAAGUUGUUGCAGUUAAAAAGCUCGUAGUUGAAUUUCGGGAUCAAUUUGUUGGUCGUACCUCGGUACGUACUGACAUUAUUGGUUUCUCCCUUCUGAGAAUCCUUGAUGUCAUUAAUUUGGUGUCUUGGGGAAUCAGGACUGUUACCUUGAAAAAAUUAGAGUGUUUAAAGCAAGGCAUACGCUUGAAUACAUUAGCAUGGAAUAAUGAAAUAGGACGUUCGAUUCUAUUUUGUUGGUUUCUAGGAUCGAUGUAAUGAUUAAUAGGGAUAGUUGGGGGCAUUAGUAUUCAAUUGUCAGAGGUGAAAUUCUUGGAUUUAUUGAAGACUAACUACUGCGAAA
rnacentral:rRNA from 1 species